AGCAGCCGCGGUAAUUCCAGCUCCAAUAGCGUAUAUUAAAGUUGUUGCAGUUAAAAAGCUCGUAGUUGAAUUUCGGGAUCAGUAUGUUGGUCGUGCUUCGGUACGUACUGUCAUUACUGGUUUCUCCCUUCUGAAGAACCUUGAUGUCAUUAAUUUGGUGUCUUGGGGAAUCAGGACUGUUACUUUGAAAAAUUAGAGUGUUUAAAGCAGGCAUACGCUUGAAUACAUUAGCAUGGAAUAAUGAAAUAGGACGUUUGAUUCUAUUUUGUUGGUUUCUAGGAUCGACGUAAUGAUUAAUAGGGAUAGUUGGGGGCAUUAGUAUUCAAUUGUCAGAGGUGAAAUUCUUGGAUUUAUUGAAGACUAACUACUGCGAAAGCAUUUGCCAAGGAUGUUUUCAUUAAUCAAGAACGAAAGUUAGGGGAUCGAAGACGAUCAGAUACCGUCGUAGUC
rnacentral:rRNA from 1 species